AGCGAACGCUGGCGGCGUGCCUAACACAUGCAAGUCGAACGCGAAAGCCCGCAAGGGUAAGUAGAGUGGCGCACGGGUGAGUAACACGUGGACAACCUGCCUUCGAGUGGGGAAUAACCUUCCGAAAGGAGGGCUAAUACCGCAUAACACCUCGGGACACAAGUUCUGGGGUUGAAAAGAGCAAUUUGCUCGAAGAGGGGUCCGCGCCUGAUUAGCUAGUUGGUGAGGUAACGGCUCACCAAGGCUUCGAUCAGUAGCCGUCCUGAGAGGGAGCACGGCCACACUGGAACUGAGACACGGUCCAGACUCCUACGGGAGGCAGCAGUGGGGAAUUUUGGCAAUGGGCGAAAGCCUGACCAAGCAACGCCGCGUGGGUGAUGAAGUAUCUUGGUACGUAAAACCCUUUCGGCAGGGACGAACCUAAUGACGGUACCCGCGGAAGAAGCCCCGGCUAACUCCGUGCCAGCCGCCGCCGU
rnacentral:rRNA from 1 species